rfam:Coriobacteriaceae bacterium 68-1-3, complete genome.
GGAGAACACUCUGGAAAAUUCUUAAAUGAAUGCCGAAGGUGCAAGGCUGCAUCCGCAGCUGAAUCUCUCAGGCAAACCGACGGAGACACAUUU